GGGUCGUUAGCUCAGUUGGUAGAGCAGUUGACUUUUAAUCAAUUGGUCGCAGGUUCGAAUCCUGCACGACCCCCA
rnacentral:tRNA from 1 species